UCGGGAUAGCUCAGCUGGUAGAGC
rnacentral:tRNA from 3 species